AUUGAACGCUAGCGGGAUGCUUUACACAUGCAAGUCGAACGGCAGCGCGGACUUCGGUCUGGCGGCGAGUGGCGAACGGGUGAGUAAUGUAUCGGAACGUGCCCAGUAGCGGGGGAUAACUACGCGAAAGCGUAGCUAAUACCGCAUACGCCCUACGGGGGAAAGCAAGGGAUCGUAAGACCUUGCACUAUUGGAGCGGCCGAUAUGGGAUUAGCUAGAUGGUGAGGUAACGGCUCACCAAGGCGACGAUCCGUAGCUGGUUUGAGAGGACGACCAGCCACACUGGGACUGAGACACGGCCCAGACUCCUACGGGAGGCAGCAGUGGGGAAUUUUGGACAAUGGGGGCAACCCUGAUCCAGCCAUCCCGCGUGUGCGAUGAAGGCCUUCGGGUUGUAAAGCACUUUUGGCAGGAAAGAAACGUCGCGGGCUAAUACCCCGUGGAACUGACGGUACCUGCAGAAUAAGCACCGGCUAACUACGUG
rnacentral:rRNA from 1 species